GAUGAACGCUGGCGGCGUGCUUAACACAUGCAAGUCGAACGAAGCAUUUAAGACAGUUUACUUCGGUUUGUAGUCUUUUAUGACUGAGUGGCGGACGGGUGAGUAACGCGUGGGUAACCUGCCUCAUACAGGGGGAUAGCAGCUGGCAACGGCUGGUAAUACCGCAUAAGCGCCCAGUACCACAUGGUACAGUGUGAACACCUCCGGUGGUAUGAGAUGGACCCGCGUCUGAUUAGCUAGUUGGCGAGGUAACGGCCCACCAAGGCGACGAUGAGUAGCCGACCUGAGAGGGGGAUCGGACACACUGGAACUGAGAAAGGGUCCAGACUCCGAAGGGAGGCAGCAGGAGGGAAUCUUCCGCAAUGGGCGAAAGCCUGAAGGAGAAAAGCCGCGUGAGUGAUGAAGGUCUUCGGAUCGGAAAAAUCUGUUAUUAGGGAAGAACAAAUGUGUAAGUAACUAUGCACGUCUUGACGGUACCUAAUCAGAAAGACACGGCUAACUACGUG
rnacentral:rRNA from 1 species